CGUCUCAAUUCCCAAAUCACAACCCAAUUUAAUUUACCUCGUUCUUUUUCUCUACAUCAAAAAAACCCUUGUCUGCCUCUUCGUUCGUCACCGUCGAAUCGUCGAUCAUCUUCAGCUGUUCGUUGCCACCUCCUCGCCGGUCAUCAGGUGGUCAUCGGCUCGGCGCCGCCUCGCCGGUCAUCAGGUCUUCGUCGGCUCGUCGCAGCGUGACUUCAGCUCGUCACCACUCCAAGAAAAAAUCACGGAUUUGAACUUCAAACUCAAAUGUUUAAAUUUAUUUUGUGGACAUAUUGAUAAGUUAGAAGAAACCUCUUCCAUUUGUGUCUCUAUGGCCAUGAAGAAUCUCCAAAGGAACAAUAAGAGGAUUAUGAUUCAGAUCUGAAUAGACCAUGCCAUGGAAAACAUAUGCUGUGGAAUCAUGUGAACAAGCUGUAAACAAAGGGUAGUUGCGAUGGAAAGCCACAUUUGUUAUGUCUUUAUUGUGAGAUCUGCACACAUUUGGAAAAAUCAUAUGUUAAUGUUAGAUUCAUGGAUAUCAAUCAUGGUAUGUAUUAAUGAAAAACAUACAUGAGAACUUUGUAAGGUUUUGAAGAAAGAUCCAUGUCAAACCAACAUAACUUUCCA